UUAGAAUCUGCAGCAAUUUUGAGGGGUGACGCUGUACGCUGUAUGUGUUGUUUUCUUAGAUUCUUUGGAAAGACAAAUUUUUUUAAUAAUCAUAAGCGUAUAGCUUUUCCCCUUAAAUAUUGAUGCACCAACAA
rnacentral:pre_miRNA from 1 species